CCAUGCUAGCUAGCUAGCAACCAUGUAAAUUUCCCAUGCUUGAUUUAUUCCUUUAGGACUUUAUUAAUUUUAUAUGUUCUUCCCAUGAUUAUCUAGAUAACUGUUGAUGUUUCUUUCACGCGUACAUGGCUUUGCUAGGAAUUUUUCCACUGGUGAGGUCUGAACUCUGAAUACUAUGAACUUAAGGAUAAAUCUUAUAGCAGAUCAAAAUCAUGGUCCACGCAAAAAAAAAAGAGAGAUCAGAAUCAUGGUUGUGCUGAUUUCAUUGGGGCCUCAUGAUGGUUUGUGUUCUUUUAUUCAAAUGAAAAAACCAAGAUUAUUAUUGUAACUGUUACAGUUGUACUAGCAGGAUUAUCCUAGAAGCUGUGCCAGUUUUUCAUCAAUUGAUAACACAGUAAGGUAGUGAAUCAUCUUUGUAGACUUUACCAUGCCUAGACUGUCUGACUUGGAUCAUGUGUAUGUCUUAAACUUUUAAAAAAUUCUCACUUUCUAUGCUAAGCUCGAAUUUGAUGAUACAAGUUGAGGUGUGUCUUGGGACAGUGUGACUAAAAAAUGAACCUUCAGUUUCUGCAAAAGAAAAGUGAGUGAUUUUUCAAUGAAAACAUAAUACUUCUGAGAAUAAGCAUGUUAAAGUCCAGCAAUUGACUUGGCUUUGUUUUGGAAAUCGCAACCGGUGCUUUCCUGCUUGUUUUGUGAUCACUUGUGUUGUUACUGCCUCCAGAAGCUGCAAUCUAAAGCCUUCUAUAAGAAUAUCAUCACAGAGUAGAUCAAAAAGUUGGAGCGACGAGAUAACAACACUGAUUGGCUGUUCAUGAGCACUGGACAACCAGCACAAGAGCAAGGCCUUCUUCAAGGUACCAACCAUAAUGCCAGGUCUCUUUUUUGUGCCAUACAUUCAUCACUACACUGUACAGAUUCCAAGGGAAUCAUGAUAAAAUACGUGUUGUUGCUACAUGUUAGUGUAACGGUACUGAUGCAGAUGACUUGUGUGCUUGAUUGUGGUUGGCUUGUGUGCUUAAUUAUGAAGUUAAUUACUCGGCAGCACAUUUAUUUUCCAAGUAACCACAGGGAAUUAUUCUUUUUGGAUCAUAUUUAUUCUCCGCAAAAAGUAAUCUCAACUUGCUUAAUGGCCCACAUUUUGCAGUUGCUUAAACCUUCUGGACAAGACACAGACAUACAACUGUGUGACAACUUAACACCUUUUGGGGAAUUUUGAUUGCUUUUCCUAACAAGAAAAUAUAACAAUAUCUGCGAAUGCUAAAUUGCCAAUUACUUAGUUUAUCAAAGGUAAAAUGUCUGCGUCAUGACAAGUAUGUGGAGUGAUUUUAAGUGAACCGACUAACUGGAUGAUUUAGUUCCUUGUGCUAAGUUUUGAAAAAGAACGUACUUAUAUGUUCCACUGUAUUGAUUUCAUAUGGUGAAUGAUAUAUUUGUUACUAGCUAAAGCUGAAGAAAUGUUUACGCAAAGAACAUUCAUUUUCACAUCACUUGGGUGCUGGUUCAGGCUGACGUGUGCAUCUCCAAACGAAGAAGCAGAUAUCCACUAAGAAGAAACUCAUCCGAGUUCUCAAGUUAAAAUCAAAUUGGCCAGCUACGUUUCAAAGUAUGAGAUGUGGUUGGGCAAUAAAUUGCAUCCCCUAUGCCAAGCCUACCGAGUUCACUAAAGCAACAAGCAGGGGAUCACCUUGAUGCAUAUCGCCAUCACAUUCAGACCCAAAGAUCUGGGAGCUGCAGUCUGGGCAUGAUUAACUGGGCAGUGCCAAAGUCAAGCUUCCGGAUGGUGGCGACAACAAUGGUGGCUGGAGGCGACGGGGCUAGCAGCAUGGCAAACAGUAGCGCGCAACGUUUCACGGUAGGGCGUGUGGCCAGUGCUUGCGGCGGUUGUGGAUGAUGAAGUAUUGGACCUGCGGUGGACGACCAUCCGCAAGAUCUACAUCAUCAUCUUUGGGUCAGUUCGCCAUGAAGGCCAUUCUGCGAACGAGGUUGUUCAUGUCCCUCCUCAUGUACAGUUGUACUUCUAUUCUAGGGUUUCAACUCUGCACUCCAUUCCGCAUCCUGUAUAUUCAGAGUCUCGAGUUUGCAUGAGUCUCGAUUUGAUUAAAUGAACAGGUCACUAAGAUAGAUUUUUGGUCGAGGAUAGAUUUUUGAUCGUGUGUGGGAUGAGAGGGAAUACUUAUCGGGUUAGGGUCAUGACAUUUUUUCUCCCGUUGCAACGCACGGGCAUUUUUGCUAGUAACAAUAAAGCAUGGAUUGAGUCUGUCGGAUUCACCGUCACAAUACGCUUUCUCCUGUGAAUUUACGCUUUCAGU